CGUUCCCGGGCCUUGUACACACCGCCCGUCACACCACGAAAGUCGGUAACACCCGAAGCCAGUGGCCCAACCCUUUUGGGAGGGAGCUGUCGAAGGUGGGAUCGGCGAUUGGGGUG
rnacentral:rRNA from 1 species